rnacentral:rRNA from 1 species
CCUACGGGUGGCAGCAGUAGGGAAUAUUGCUCAAUGGGGGAAACCCUGAAGCAGCAACGCCGCGUGAGUGAAGAAGUAUUUCGGUAUGUAAAGCUCUGUCAGCAGGGAAGAAAGCAAUGACGGUACAUGACCAAGAAGCCCCGGCUAACUACGUGCCAGCAGCCGCGGUAAUACGUAGGGGGCAAGCGUUAUCCGGAUUUACUGGGUGUAAGGGAGGUGAGAGGGAUGGGCAAGUCUGGAGUGAAAGGCGGGGGCCCAACCCCCGGGCUGCUCUGGAAACUGUAUGGCUGGAGUGCAGGGGAGGCAAGCGGAAUUCCUAGUGUAGCGGUGAAAUGCGUAGAUAUUAGGAAGAACACCAGUGGCGAAGGCGGCUUACUGGACUGUAACUGACGUUGAGGCUCGAAAGCGUGGGGAGCAAACAGGAUUAGGUACCCGAGUAGUC